ACGUCGGUGGUGCAACGGUUUAGCCAUGCUCCCGGAAAGAGUAGAUACGGGUUCGAAUCCCGGCUGACGCG